GACAGAAGCUUAAAACCUGUGGGAGAGCAUGGGCCCCGACUGAGCCAGGUCCCAGGACCGGAACACAGGGCUGGAGAGCGCCCAAAUGCUCAGCAUCAUAAACCAGGGGGAAUGUUCUUCGUGUUCCCGGAAAUCAGUCAGAGGGCUGCUUCUGAAUUGAAUCCAGGGAUGAGGAGACACCUGGAGAGAAGGCGAUGGAUCACUGACUGGCACAGGCUUCCCUCGGAUAGAGAUGGAGAGUCCUGUCUGUUCACAGAUUUCUCAUUCGGAUUCGGAGUCACCGUUCUACAGAGCAUGAGAAGUGACCCAGAAGACUUAAUUACAUUUGAAACUGCAGGGGAAGGAGGUUUCUACUCACUUUUCAUGGAUGUUCUGUCUUCCCCCCAAAGGAGUGAACAUCAGUCUGGUUGGGACUCCAGGAUGCUGCGAAGGACGCCUUUAACCAUGAGCAGGGUCUCUGUGCACCGGGUGCUGCACGUCACGUGUGUGGAUGCUGCCCCUCUCCCUCUUUCACUCACUCUCAGGGGUACAAGGACUAGUAAGCUGAGCUUCUGUUGGGCACAGCUGUCCUCAGCUUCUGGUCUCCAUAGGACAUGUGGCCCAGACAAGGCCUGACACAGAUGACACAGCUUUUCUCGUGUCUCCUGUCUCUGUCCUUGGGCAGCAGGCUGACCCAGGCCACCACUCUGCUGGGGGUCGGCAUAAACGUGCCAGCUUUUCUGUGGCUCUUCUUAGGGUCACUGAGGUGAGUGCUCAGAAUAGAGACCACCGAGCAGCCAGCCAUUGGGGUAGGGAGAUCCACAGGCGGCUCCCGUGGGGUUGACAGUGCCACUUGGGGCUGGUAAUGGCCCAGAAGGAGGGAAGGAGCCGUCCCCAUGGGGCCAUAGGCAGCUGGGCACGCAUCACCUCUGUAGGAGCAGCAGCGGUUCCUGAGGAGUCUGGAGGCCUCUGUGAAGGUUAGGAAAGCGACAGGACCCACUUGAAGAGCAGAUUUCAGUCCUGAAAAUCCUCCUGGACUGAUGUGAAGGAAACAAGCAAGCUCCUGGGCCACUUUCCGCAACUUCAAGGAACACUGACGCCAGGGCCACUGUCACUGUCCCGGAAGUAGCCCAAGUGCUCGACCUGGAGGCCUAGAAAGCCGGAGAGGCCACAGUGAGGGGGGACCAUGGGGCAAAGGACCCACCAAGGGGACAGGCUCUGUACGUGUCACCAGGAGCAGAUUCUGCUCAGACUUUCACUGCGGGGCCAAGUCUCCAAUCUGGGAGACCCCUGUGGGGACCGGAGGUUUGUCCCUGGGAACUUAAGGAAGGGAAGAAGGGGCAGAAGUAGCAGCAGUGGCUGCUGGGCAAGGGGGUCAACACCCUUGGCGCCUCUGGGCACACAGAAAUGGAGGGGAACCGGUGCCUGGGACCUACAGCCCUGCUCCAAUGUCCCUGGAAGGGACAUCCAUUAGUGGGACUCACCUGGACCCCCUGCCCUUCCCUCCUUUCUGGGGAGACUCUCUGGCGGAAGGGGUGAGUCUACUCCUUGUUGGGUCUCCCCGGGCUCAUCAUGCCUGGAGAGGCCAAGGCUCUGUUGGUUUUCCAAAGUCUAGUGCACAGGGACAGGAGCUUGGGGGGCUGAGGGAGUUUGGGGGUGUAUAUGAUUGAUUGAAGCAGCCUGAGGCUGCAGGUGUGUGGAUAAGCUCAAUUUGGGAGUUUGGUUUUAGGGAUUCCUUUCUUGCUAUGCACUACGCUGUGACCUCCAGUUUAGCUUUUAUCAGAAAGAAACCCAUCUGUAUUUUGAACCCCAUCUGUUUCACUUUUAUAUCUAUGUUGGUUUGAAACUCAGGUGAGGGAGAGGGAUGCGCUUUGGAGGGGCCCACUAACACCCUAAAUUGGAUCCAGCAUAUGGGUCUACACCUCCUUCCAUGAAUUCUUGUCUAUCUGGGCCCCAGAUGGGUAGAGAGCCUGGGAGUCCUACCCCUUUACAAUUGCAUGGUCAUGAUACAGUUAUCACGCGUGGGUUUAGUGGGCAUUUGGUGACAGUAUUACAGUUUUGAGGAAUGAGGGUGGGGUGGAACCCCUUCUUCUAAGCAGAAUCUCAGCGACUGGGCAGGGGGUGAUUGACCUGUGGACUCCUGAAGUGGCAGAGUUGGUACAAAGCCAGAGGGAUUGCUGGGGGUGGAAAUGUGAGGAUUUCUAAAGGGAGGGGAGUAAAUCCUUGGAAUAGGGGCUGGGAAGAGGCAUCUGGGCAAAGAAGGAAAUGGUUAAGGGGUGAGAGGAGGGAGAGAGAGAGAACCAUUGGGCAAUUUGGGAAAAAUCCAUGCAGGCCACUUUCCAAAGGUCUGCACUCCCCCCUAGUGGUCACUCUUGGUAUUACAGCCUCCUGAGACCUGUUUCUGUUGCCGUUUCCGAGAAACUGAAACCGAAAAUCUCUCUGGUAAACCCGCAAAAUUAGUCGCAGCAGCGCCAUUAUUUCUUUCCAAAUAAAGGCUAACCAAUUAAGUAUGGGA